rnacentral:tRNA from 1 species
UGGCUCAGUGGUAGAGCGCUUGCCUUGCAUGCAUGAGGCCCGGGGUUGGAUUCCUCA